rnacentral:rRNA from 1 species
AAAUAAAAGAAGAGGUAAGUCGUAACACGGUAAGCGUACCGGAAGGUGCACUUGGUACAA